rnacentral:rRNA from 1 species
GACGAACGCUGGCGGCGUGCUUAACACAUGCAAGUCGAACGGAAAGGCCCUGCUUUUGUGGGGUGCUCGAGUGGCGAACGGGUGAGUAACACGUGAGUAACCUGCCCUUGACUUUGGGAUAACUUCAGGAAACUGGGGCUAAUACCGGAUAGGAGCUCCUGCUGCAUGGUGGGGGUUGGAAAGUUUCGGCGGUUGGGGAUGGACUCGCGGCUUAUCAGCUUGUUGGUGGGGUAGUGGCUUACCAAGGCUUUGACGGGUAGCCGGCCUGAGAGGGUGACCGGCCACAUUGGGACUGAGAUACGGCCCAGACUCCUACGGGAGGCAGCAGUGGGGAAUAUUGCAAAAUGGGCGGAAGCCUGAUGCAGCAACGCCGCGUGCGGGAUGACGGCCUUCGGGUUGUAAACCGCCUUCGCCUGUGACGAAGCGUGAGUGACGGUAAUGGGUAAAGAAGCACCGGCUAACUACGUG